GAUGGGUUCAAUGAGAGCAUAGGGAUUUGCGAUGAGAGCGGAAUUUGCCAUGCCAGUACCGGGAUUCGGUAAGAAUUUUAUUGACUAUUUGUCAUACAAGGAAAUGUAAUGAUAAAUUGUCAUACAAGUUUGAGGCAUUAGGCUGAAAUUACGGUUUACCUGAGUUAUUCUCACAUAUAACUUUUAUCUAGGCUGUUAUGUCGGUGUAGGAAGGCUGUUAAGAGGAUUAUUAUGAUGUCAAAGCUAGUGUGAGUAGAUUACAUUCAUGAUUUAUUGUAUUUAUUGGCUGUAUUUGGCUUACGAUGGCGUGUUUCUUACAUGGGGGAUUUUAAAUUGAACAACUUUCAAGAUGGUGUUCUAUCAUCUGUGUUUAUGGUUGGGCUUCUCAUGGCCUCACCCAUCUUUGCAUUCUUGGCAAAGAGGUGAGUACUUGUGUAACUGGAUGAGCUGUGAAUUUAUUCGAGAUGUGAUUUAGCCGAUUUGAUUUAUAAGUUCAUGUGCGUUGUAGCCACAAUCCUUUUAGGCUGAUUGGAGUUGGGCUAUCUAUUUGGACAUUUGCCAUAGCUGGGUGUGGUAGUUCAUUUAAUUUAUGAUCCAUUGCAAUAUGUCGCAUGCUGGUUGGAGUCGGUGAGGCAUCUUUCAUAAGUCUUGCAGCUCCAUUCAUUGAUGACCAUGCCCCUGCAGAUUAGAAAUCAGCAUGGCUGGCAAUAUUUUACAUGUGUAUACCGACUGGAGUUGCUAUAGG
rnacentral:lncRNA from 1 species